UACGGAGGGGGCAAGCGUUGUUCGGAAUUACUGGGCGUAAAGCGCGCGUAGGCGGCUGUCUAAGUCGGGUGUGAAAGCCCCGGGCUCAACCUGGGAACUGCAUUCGAUACUGGACGGCUAGAGUAUGAGAGAGGGAGGUAGAAUUCCACGUGUAGCGGUGAAAUGCGUAGAUAUGUGGAGGAAUACCGGUGGCGAAGGCGGCCUCCUGGUUCAAUACUGACGCUGAGGUGCGAAAGCGUGGGGAGCAAACAGG
rnacentral:rRNA from 1 species